GCUCCAUUGUGUUUUAAAACUCCGUACUUGAAUCAUUUGGAUAACUUCAUCCCUGGAAUUGCUCAUGUCUACUGAAAAAGUGUGUCAGGUCCUGGGAAUAGCGUCACCUCGGAGUAGCUGACGCCAAACAGAUGGCCCUCCUGUUCCUGCAACAAAACAUAUUACUUUUAAGUGAAGUUGGAAUUACCUGCGCCAAACCACCCCUAAAUGACAUCGCAAGGUGGAACAGAGCAUUUUGAGCUUUGGAGAUGUAAACGUAAACAGAC